GCCUGCGUAGCUCAGUGGAUAGAGCAACCCUCUCCUAAAGGGUAGGUCGCGCGUUCGAGUCGCGCCGCGGGCACCU
rnacentral:tRNA from 1 species